GACGUAGGGCGCGAGCGUUGUCCGGAUUUAUUGGGCGUAAAGAGCGCGCAGGCGGCUGGUCAAGUCCGAUGUGAAAUCUCCCGGCUUAACUGGGAAACUGCAUCGGAAACUGAUCGGCUUGAAGGUGGGAGAGGGUAGUGGAAUUCCCGGUGUAGUGGUGAAAUGCGUAGAUAUCGGGAGGAACACCAGUGGCGAAGGCGACUACCUGGCCCAUUCUUGACGCUGAGGCGCGAAAGCUAGGGGAGCGAACGGG
rnacentral:rRNA from 1 species